rnacentral:rRNA from 1 species
CCUACGGGGGGCUGCAGUGGGGGAUAUUGCACAAUGGGGGAAACCCUGAUGCAGCGACGCCGCGUGGGUGAAGAAGCGCCUCGGCGCGUAAAGCCCUGUCAGCAGGGAAGAAAAUGACGGUACCUGAAGAAGAAGCCCCGGCUAACCACGUGCCAGCAGCCGCGGUAAUACGUAGGGGGCAAGCGUUAUCCGGAUUUACUGGGUGUAAAGGGGGCGCAGACGGGGAUGCAAGCCAGGAGUGAAAGCCCGGGGCCCAACCCCGGGACUGCACUUGGAACUGCGUGGCUAGAGUGCAGGAGGGGCAGGCGGAAUGCCUGGUGUAGCGGUGAAAUGCGUAGAUAUCAGGAGGAACACCGGUGGCGAAGGCGGCCUGCUGGACUGCAACUGACGUUGAGGCCCGAAAGCGUGGGGAGCAAACAGGAUUAGAUACCCUAGUAGUC